rnacentral:tRNA from 1 species
UGGCUCAGACGAUAAAGCAUCUGCCUGCAAUGCGGGAGACCCGGGUUCGAAUCCUGG